UCUCUUCACCAUUACCAAUUACUUCCCUUCUCAAUUCUUCUAAUCACUUUUCUUCUUUCUCAAAUCCUCAAUUUCAAUCUCAGAAUGGGUUUAAAGGGAUUUGCCGAAGGAGGAAUCGCUUCCAUUGUUGCCGGUUGCUCUACUCACCCACUUGAUCUAAUCAAAGUUCGGAUGCAAUUAGAUGGCGAGAAACCGCCACUUCCAAAUCUCCGCCCUGCCCUAGCUUUCAAUGCUUCUCGUUCCCUUGUUGCGCCAGAAUCUUUUCACAUUCCGCCGCCCCAACCUCCGCGUGUCGGACCCAUAUCGGUCGGCGUGCGGAUUGUCCAGUCCGAAGGCGUUGCCGCUCUGUUUUCCGGUGUCUCUGCAACUGUUCUCCGACAAACUCUUUACUCCACCACUCGGAUGGGUCUUUACGAUAUCCUCAAGACUAAAUGGUCCAAUCCAGAUUCCGGAAGUAUGCCUCUGACUCGGAAAAUCACCGCGGGGUUAAUUGCCGGUGGGAUUGGCGCAGCGGUCGGGAACCCGGCCGAUGUCGCAAUGGUGAGAAUGCAGGCCGAUGGACGGCUUCCAGUGUCUCAGCGGCGGAAUUACGCCGGCGUGGUGGACGCGAUCACGAGAAUGUCGAAGCAGGAGGGGAUUACUAGUCUAUGGCGUGGGUCGGCACUUACGGUGAACCGGGCAAUGAUCGUGACGGCGGCGCAGUUGGCGUCGUACGAUCAGAUAAAAGAGACGAUAUUGGAGAAGGGUGUGAUGAAGGACGGACUGGGGACACACGUGACGGCAAGUUUCGCGGCGGGGUUUGUGGCGGCGGUGGCGUCGAAUCCGGUGGAUGUGAUAAAGACGAGAGUCAUGAAUAUGAAGGUGGAGGCAGGGGAGGCGGCACCGUACAGUGGGGCGUUGGACUGUGCAAUGAAGACGGUGAAGGCAGAAGGGCCGAUGGCUCUUUACAAAGGAUUUAUUCCGACGAUUUCACGGCAAGGGCCUUUCACGGUGGUCUUGUUUGUCACACUUGAACAAGUCAGAAAAAUUUUCAACCAACUUUGAUUUGACGAUGGUUCCUGCUCUCUUAUCUGAGUCCUGAAUGGAUAGGAGGUUGUUGGCUGCCCUACUUGUUUCUGGAUUGCGCAUGGAUUGAACAUCGGAUGACCCUUGAGUUUCAUCCGAAUUUUGGAGUGAGCGUUGAGCUUCAAGUCCUCUGCUCUUAUCCAAAUUCUCGAAUGGUUGACUUGAAACACGUCCCCGGUCCAUAUUCUGGAGUUCAUUUGCUAUUUGGCUGCGCCGCUCCUUCAAAAAGUUGAGUCUGGUAGUAAGUUUUGUCAGUGCUGAAGAGAACGACAUACAGGAACUACAGUUCAACAUGGCACUUCAAAGCACCAUUAGACUUUACUACCCACCUCAAUCCUCGCACCAGUUCUCUUAGGAGCCGUUGGCCUUGCUGGUAAUGUCUCUGAAGCAGAUGAAUUGGUCGGCAACCCAAGUGAUCUGACAGUGGCAUUACGAGGAUCUGGAUGCUGGUGGAGAGGGGGAUGUUUACUUGCGGAAGAUGAUGAUUCCAUCUUCUUUUCAUUGUCAUUUUCUGCUUGACCUGAAAGGACAUCCUGCAAAAACACAAUAACGAACUUAAAAUGAUUGUCAAUUUGUUGAAAAUCGGUCCGAGUAUCCUACAAUGCUCCUCGAGGCCCAAAACAGUAACUAAAAUGCAUUGCUAUGAUUCUUGACUUCGGCAUGAUCAAAAUAGUUAUUAUAAUGCAUGCCCAUGAUUCAUGGCUUCAAAAGAAUCAUAGCAUUCUAGCGAAGAAACAAGGUUUGAUUAAAAUUA